GUGGGUGACAGGCCGGGCCCUGACCAGACAGCCGUGUUCGAAACCACUUCAGCCACUGACUUAGCAAUCCUUACACCUCAUUUUCCCCACCUGUAAAAUGGGACUAGUAAGACCCACUUUCUGUGAAGGAUUUAGCGGAGCUCUUGGAACUGUGCCCAGCACACAGACUUCAAUAAACGUCGGUUUUAUGACAAUCCGGAAGUUUCACCUGGGCAAAAUGCUGGGGAACUCAGGCUGUGGGACCGGUGGGAGGGCACCUCGCAGUGUCAGGUCUGAGAAGCAAACCCUUCAGCCCUCGCAUCACCACUGCCCCUUCCAGGCUACUGAAUCCCAACUCCUGGAACCCAUCUCACCACCUUCAGGGACUCCAGAGCCCUCUCUGAAGCCCCCACAAAUUCCUAAACCAGGCACACAGCCCAUUCCCCUGAGAUGCUUUGCUCCUAAAACCACCUAACCACCUGUGAAACCCUGAGGCUACUUCCUCGUUCCUUACACCCUGACCCUGGCAGGUGCUUCAGCCUGGUUCACUGCAGAGCUCCAGAUGCUGGGGGUGGGGGCGGGGAUGGGAAACAUCCAGCUAGGCCAUUACUGAGGACGGCCCUGUAUGCGCCAAAGCUAAGGAAACACUGGACUCCGCUGAAGGCUUGGGUUCAAAUCACGGCUGUGUGGGCUUUGGACAAAUUCCGUCAUCGCAGUCCGUUUCCUUCUCCCGCGCACGAACCUGGAAAGCGCAGCCGUCGGGGCUGACCGAGGGAACGUGCUGUUCCCGCGGGGCGCUGGGGACACUUGACGCGGCAGAAGGCCCAGCGAGGGGCGCCCGUGCCCUGCGGCGCAUCCCACCCUCUCCGACACCAUCCCCUCCCGGACCCGCUUACCCCGGCCCGGGAACCAGAGUCGGAGGCCUCCGGGUGGCUCUCACUCCGGCUAAGGCACUGAGACUGACGAGCUCUCCGCGGGCACUGUGCGCCUCCGAGAACCCCACGAUCCCGCGCGUCCCCGGCGCGGAGCGGGGCUGCCCGGGGCGCGGGGGGCCAGAGCACACGCCUCGGGGCCGGAGGAUGGCGAGGGCUCACCGAGACCGACGCCCGCACUCCCCCGCCCCCCCCACGCUGGAGCGCCAGGGCAAGCGCUGGUCCUAAGGGUCCAUGCCCUCCGAACUCCGAGGGGGACAAAGGCUUUACAUGCCAGGGAAGGCUCUGUAGUGGGACGCGCUCCCCGAAAGCCUUGCUUCUCCGACCGGCCCAGCUUCCCAUCUGCCGCCACAUCCCCGCCAGGAGCGCCCUCCUCCGUGCCUGGCCGCCUGUCCAGCUCCUGUUCACCAAGCGCCCUUGAAACAGGGCCAGCCGAAUCGGAUUCCUCUCUCCUCCCAGGCCCAGCACAAUCAGUUUGUACCUUUCCCACGCACAGUGUGUGCCCUGUCUCCUAUUCUAGCUGUCUGUUUACUAGUCUUGUCCUAGCCAGAUUAGAAGGUCCUUGAGGCAGAAACAAAGUCUGCUGCUUCUUUGAGGCCUCUUCCCUGCCCCUCCAAUUCAUCUCACCCAGGCCGCGCCUGGCACCCGAGCUGAUGUUCAAUAAAUAUUGGGUGUAUUGAAAUGAUUUCCUGCCCUCUGGUAGUUGUCAGGCCAGUUGCAGAGACAAACACAGGGUGUGUGGGGUUAAAUAAUAACCGAAGCCAGCAGGUGGGGAGUAUCAAAUGUGGGUGACAAGGGCCGAGGAUUUAGCUCAGUGGUUCUGGCGCCUGCCUUGAAAGCACAAGGUCCCGAGUUUGAUCCCCGGUACCAAACAAACAAAAUAAUAAGUAUGCAAGUUCCCUGACUAUUGGCAUGGAAAAAUAAUUUUGGGGCCAGGGAUUUAGCUCAGUGGUUUCGCCGCCUGCUGCACAAGUACAAGAACCCGAGUUUGAUCCCCAGCACCACCCCCCCAAACUGUGGGUGACAGCUAUGGGGACUCAGAGGGAAGGAGGUGGUGAUUGGGGAGCAAGUUCCCAGGAGGUUCUAGGUCUUGAGCUGACUGUGUAGGAGGAUGGGGAGGGGCCGGGUGGAGGUGACUCAUGGGGGUUGACAUCACCACAAAACAGCCUUCCUGCUGGGUACUUUACAUGCAUUAUCUCUGAUAUUUGGGGCGGGAGGUUUGAGAGGGGGGCAGGGGACAGUGGCCAAGCCUGGCCCACCCAGAGGCAACCAGAGCACAGGGGACAGCCUUGAAUGUCCCUGGGCACUGGCACUGCCUGUUCCCUGGCCCGCCACUCCUACCUGCCACACCCAAGAGGGCCCAGCUCUGCCCAGUUCUGGAUGCACUGCGGUCCCACCCUGGCUAACAACUGGCCCGUGUGACCUCGGGCAAGGCACUUCCUCGUCCUCACCGGUACAGGCUGUGACUCUGGGCAUCAGUGUGAGGCUUGGCACCUCCCCGGAUAGUACCUGGGCUGGUGCAACUGCCUGCCCUCUCCACACACCCUCUGUGUCCUCCCAGCCUAGAGCCCCCGAGAGGAACACUGGGUACAGAGUGUGAACAGGGAUGGCUUCCUGUGGUUGCAGAGGGAGCAGCGGGACUUUCCCUGCAGUGCCUGGGCUGGGGGAGAAGAGGGCCAACCUCCAAGGAACCUCUGCUCUCUUCCCUCCCUCCUCGGUGCUCCCAGCCCUCUAAAAGGCUGGUACAGUUUGUUACGCUGGGGCCGGAAUGUACCGUGUUUCAUAUGGCCUCUGUCCAGUCCUACACUGGCCGCUUUAUAUUUAUACUUCCUGCUCCAGCUGUGGCAUCCUGCUGUCAGUCACCCCUGCUCUCAUCUGCCCACCUCCUGAACGCCCCCAGCAGAUUAUGAAGAGUCUGCAGCCUGGGACUGAAGUUUCUCUGGACCUAGGAGAGGCCAGCUGCAGGAUGUUCCUGCUCCCAAGCUGCCAGGGACCAAGACAAGCAGGGAGAAGAGAACACGCAGGGACUUGGAGGGAAAUUCCUCCGGCCGUUGGGCCACACCCGCCCUAGAGGACCUCCCGAGCUCUUCGGGCAGAGCGGAAGCCAGACCCAGACAGGGACGCUGAAGUGACAAUCCCCAGCCCUGUGUGGGCCAGGAGCCCCUGAGGGGGAGGGGCCACGGUGCUCUCCCCACCCCAGAGCCAGGCGUGGGUUGCAACAGAGGCUUCUCCAGGGAGGCUUGAGAGGAAGUUCAGCCCAAGCGGGAGCCAAGCCUGGGCCCAGCAGGGAGAGCUGCGGUGGGUACAGGACUGAGGAGGACACCACUGUGCGAAGACUGGCCUCCUCUCACCUGCCCCGUCCUGCACCCCCGGCCCGGAACUUUGUGCCUUCGCCCGCUGCACUCCUACCAGCACGGAAUUCCGAGCCACACCGAGCUCCUCUCAGCCGGCCCCACCUGCGAGUCACGUUCCUGCCUCGCCACGCAGUUAUCCCCUGGGCCUUUGUACCUGCUUUCCUGGCGCCGGGAAUGCCCUUCCCCCAUUGACCCAGCAAGGACCUUGUCACUUUCCAGGUGAGAGGCUUUUCUUGGUCUCGAUGUGCGCACAUUUUAUAGUAGUGCUUACAGUAAUGACUAAAAGCCAACAUUCUGCAGGCACACCACGUGCUGUUCCGACUGCUCUGUGUGUGUGUGUGUGUGUGUGUGUGUGUGUGCGCGCGCGUGUGCACCCAUUACAUUUUUGUCAGCUUAUUUAACUGUCAUAACAACCCUAAUGGGCACUAUUGUUAUCAUCUCCAUCUGACAGAGAGGAAAAUUGAUACACCGAGAGUGGGGUUACCAUUGACAUAGGGGGACAGGUCAAGUAAGCCGGGUUUCCGCACAACCAGCUCAGUGGAAAGGUCUGGGUAGCUAACCACUGCACUGCACGGCCUCUAGCUGUUAGGAGCUUUUACCAAUUUACAUACCUCUGAGAAAGCAGCAUCAGAUAAUGUCUGGUAACUGAGUGAAUUCAUAAAAUGUAAUAGAAUAAAGAAGUAGGGCUUAUCUUCGCUUGUGUAAGAUAUCUGCUAUGUCAACACUAUGUUUUUUUCCUAGAACAUAUAAUAUGUUAAAGAAAAUAAAAUUUG
ensembl:lncRNA